ensembl:snoRNA
AAGUUAGCCAAUGAAUCUGCUUACCUGAAAGUGUUUCUGCAGAAAUUUUUUAAAAGCUGGCAAUAAGUAAAGCCAUGUUACAAGCUCUAAGGACAUCGAAGUCUUUUAAGGGCCCUGGAAACGGCUAUGACA